rnacentral:tRNA from 1 species
UCUAAAAUGGCAGAUUAGUGCAUUGGAUUUAAACCCCAAAAAUAAAUUUAUUUUUUUUUAGAA